UUAAAAAGCUCGUAGUUGAAUUUCGAGACCGGCUUACUGGUCGUGCUUUUGUACGUACUGGUAUAAUCGGUUUCUCCUUUCUGACGAACUAUAAUGCCAUUAAUUUGGUGUUAUAGGGAAUCAGGACUGUUACUUUGAAAAAAUUAGAGUGUUUAAAGCAGGCUCACGCUUGAAUACAUUAGCAUGGAAUAACGGAAUAGGACGUUUGAUUCUAUUUUGUUGGUUUCUAGGAUCGACGUAAUGAUUAAUAGGGAUAGUUGGGGG
rnacentral:rRNA from 1 species